UACGUAGGGUGCAAGCGUUGUCCGGAAUUAUUGGGCGUAAAGAGCGUGUAGGCGGUUCGGUAAGUCUGUCGUGAAAUCCUGAGGCUCAACCUCGGGCGUGCGAUGGAUACUGCCGGGCUAGAGGGGUGGUAGAGGCGAGUGGAAUUCCCGGUGUAGCGGUGAAAUGCGCAGAUAUCGGGAGGAACACCAGUAGCGAAGGCGGCUCGCUGGGCCACACCUGACGCUGAGACGCGAAAGCUAGGGGAGCGAACAGG
rnacentral:rRNA from 1 species